GCAAAAAAUAUUGUAAUCCGCCUCGAUGUAAUUGGACCUAUGUAACAAAAAACCUAUGCAAUCACUUUUUUCAGAUGUACUAUCACACCGAUUUUGCGUAGAAUUACAUCUGGCUCAUCAUUACACAGAAAAACCGUAACGAUUCUCGUUUCCGUUGUAUUUGUGUAAUAUUCACAUCGAGCAAAUGUGAAUAUUACACAGAAUCAGCUGCAACCAACUGGUUACAAUUAAACGUGCGUAUGAUUACACAAAACCGAUGUCAUAUCGCAUUCGUUUGUCAGGCAAUAUUAAGUCUCGCAACACUGCUGUCAUCGACCGGAUCGACGGCAGUCUCGCGAUGAUGCAGCCAUAUUGUUUUUGUUUCUUCUCAAAGUGGCUGCCGUUUUUCUACUUUUCGUAACUUUUUAUAGUUGGCGAAGGAGUAUUGUUUUUUCGAUGAGCGCAGGAAUUGGAAUGUAAGUGGAUGAUCGCUGGUGCCCAUUCCGACUAUUGCCCGAAAAGGUUUUCCCCUGCAAAUUUAACACUAGCAAAUCCGAAGGUUCCGUUCCUAGGCGACGGUAUCACAAUCAAGCCACUUCCGGACUGUGGCAAGUGUGGCCCCGCUGAAGCCACCCUAUCAAACUAAGGAAGAAAUGGAAGAAAAGUGCGAGCAAUCGACUACCGGUGGAGUGCCAUCCAAAGUUGUGGCCAGCUGGUGAAAGCUGUCAGUAACAAUGUUUCGAGAAGAGGCAGUAUCCAGUGUUGGCUGCCCGGUGGGCCCCAAGAAGACAUCCAGUAUGGACAGUUGUCGAGCGAGUAUAUUGGCGAGGUGAUAAACAAGGAACUGGCGUGGAGGUUACAGCAGAAAGUGGCUCGAAAGGACGAGAGCUACUAUUUCAUUGCGGUGGACUCCGAGCGGACAAUCGAUGAGUAUCCCGAUGGAGAACCUUGCGAUACUUUGAAAGGCCGGCGGUGCAUAGUUGGUCGGGU